AGUGAACGCUGGCGGUAGGCCUAACACAUGCAAGUCGAACGGCAGCACAGUAAGAGCUUGCUCUUACGGGUGGCGAGUGGCGGACGGGUGAGGAAUACAUCGGAAUCUACUUUUUCGUGGGGGAUAACGUAGGGAAACUUACGCUAAUACCGCAUACGACCUACGUGUGAAAGCAGGGGAUCUUCGGACCUUGCGCGAUUGAAUGAGCCGAUGUCGGAUUAGCUAGUUGGCGGGGUAAAGGCCCACCAAGGCGACGAUCCGUAGCUGGUCUGAGAGGAUGAUCAGCCACACUGGAUCUGAGACACGGCACAGACUCCUACGGGAGGAAGCAGUGGGGAAUAUUGGACAAUGGGGGCAAGCCUGAUCCAGCAAUACCGCGUGGGUGAAGAAGGACUUAGGGUUGUAAAGUCAUUUUGUUGGGAAAGAAAAGCAGCAGGUUAAUACCCCGCUGUUCUGACGGUACCCAAAGAAUAAGCACCGGCUAACUUCGUG
rnacentral:rRNA from 1 species